ACUCAGCAAAACGUGUAGUGAUAGGUUCACGAUCCUUCAGGACCUCGGAGCGGUUAUCCGGGAGCUGGUACUUGCAGUUUAACCUGAAAUCAUCUGACGCUGCAACUUUUCACCCAUUCCCGUGUUUUCGUUCAUAUUAAGAAAAAGUCUGCAGGUGGUAAUUAGAAGGAAAAUGCAAACCACCCAGGGCUCAGUUUUCGGGGUAGGCACCUUUUUGCAAUUCAUCACGUUACCUAGAAAUUGCUCUCAUUUGUUGUUUUGUUUGACAUAGUUCUCUCUUUUAAAAAAGUGUGUCGUUUCACUUGGCUUCAGAAAAUUCACACUUGAGCAACAUGAGAAUGAACGAAAAUUCAUAGUUUUUAAUAUUUUAGUUUGAAAAAUUUCGGACACUGAAAAUUGUAAAAAUGCUACAAAGAAACCCCACUUAAGUCACUGAGAUGACCCCAACGUUACGAUGUCAUCUAAUCUGCUUUACUAGUUUUUCUCUCUCCUGAGAGCCCUGGGGAUGGCCCCCUGCCUGCUGCCCACAUCUAGCGAUGCCCCAUUGCGAGGCUGGGUGGAGGAGGACAGCCGUGCCAAAAGGGGGUCCGUAAGAAAUACCUUUCAUAACAACUUGCUCUGAUUUGAUGGGAAUAUUUUUGAAUGCUGAUUGUUAAUCCGGGGGCGGCUUCGACUAGUGAAAGCAGACCGCAACCUGGAACUCCUAUGUGUGUAAAUAUGUGUGUAUAUACGUGUGUGUAUAAAUUUUGAGUGUGUGUAUUUAAUAGGGGUGAAUAAUUUUAAGACCUGUAUGUAUGUUGGGCAUAGGUAUAGAAUAGAAUAUUAUUUAGGUAAAUGUGAUCACUUUUUUUUAUUAUGGGCAAAAAAGUGUUUCAGUUUAGGGAAAUAGUAUCAGUUCUAGAUGUUGGGAGCCUUUCGUUCCAAUAACCGAUGAGUUUACAAAAUGACUGUAAGACCCCGUGUACGUUAAUGAAUUCUUCUAGGUGGCACUUUUGCCACUACUUCAUGGAGGUAAGAGAAUACAGUAUCAUAAUUUUCCCCCCUCAGGGAAGCCGUACGUAUAAAAUUAGGCUAAUAUAUAAUAGUGACUUUCAUUAAAAUGACUAUGGAAACACAGUAGUACUUUAUGAAUCAGUAGUUCAUAUGGGAAGAGACCAUGCUGAUAAAACUGGAAGGAAUGUGACCCCAUUUAUUUUGUUUUUCAGGAGGUGGAGGUGGGUGUUUCACUGAAAAAUGACCAUCUGCCCACCAUAAAAAUAUUGGAUCGUUUUUUGAGAGAAACAGACUCGUAAAACUUGGAAUUGUGACACCGGUUCACUUUUCAAUAUUUCAGUUAUCAAGGGCCUCUGCGGGGAUGAGAAACAGUAAGAUCUUGCUGAAGAUUUUAUAGCUGGCUCAUUUCUAAAUACUCAGAACUCUUUGCAGGUUUACAAGAAUCUUUCAGUGCUGGCAGGACGGCAACUCUAACCCAUCCCUGAUACCUGCUCGACUUUCAAACCCACAGGUGGUGCUCGCUGAGACUUGCACUGCAUUUUGCAGCCCAGUCCUUACCUAAGGGGACCUUGGAGGAUCCCCUUGCAAAUAUUGGAUGCCCUUCCUCAGUGCUGCUCUGUCUUCUCUUGUUCCUGAGAUUUCUGCCUCCUCUCUGGACUUGACCUUUGCACCGUCAAUGUAGUGAGACUGCUGUGUUUUUUUGGGGGGGGGGCUCAAUCUCCCUCCAUUGUACACUGAAAACUGCCCUCAGGAAGGAACCCAGUCCCAACAGGGGUCUACAAUUAUGCUUUCCUGUGUUGGGAUUAUUGUUGCCUUGCAAGUUUCCCAGCUUGAUGGUGGUUUCCUGUACCAGUCUCUCAGUUCUGAUGGGAAUGAGGCAUUCCCACUGAAUCACCUCUAGGGGUCAGGGGUUAAUGGAAACCUGUUGGAGACCGUUGAAACUGCUGAAGGAUGCAAUAAACAAAUUUGGCGCAUGUGCAAAAGCACAACCACGAAGCAAUAGCUGUAUCAUUACCUGCAGCAGAUUUUGCUCAUUAACAUAUAUACCUUCCCUAAUAAGAGGCAUGUGGGCUAAAACCUAGGCGCCUCUGUUCAGGGGAACGGAGUGCCUCCUGGUCCCCCACUUUUCUAAAUGCAAGUGCCUUCUGUGCUUUGUUGUGCUGCCCGGUCCCUCUUCUGGGAUCUGCCGCCCCCAGCAGCGCUGGCCGGGCAGAGGGGCGCCCAGUGUGGGGCUGGAAGAGAAGGUCUGCCCCAGCAGAGAAAAAGGAAAAUGAGGGUCUGUCGUGAGCGGAGAAGAAGGGACGGUCGGCCACUAGCAGGAAACGGUGAAAGUACAGACGGCGGAAACCGUAGCCUUGCACCGGACGGAGUGGUGACCCCUCUACGUGGAAUAAUACAUGAGCCAGUGCAGCUGCCGACCUGCAGCCCCCCCUGAGCAGAGGUCAGCGUGGAGCUCAGGAGCGAGGCGGUUGGUCAUCUGGGAAAACUGACAGAAGAGGUCUUUGGAGAGUUAGAUUUCAAGGAAGUAAUGAAAACUCAGAUCACACGGCAGAACACUCUGACCUUUUGCUCAGAGACUGAUAAAAGUUCUUGCGCAAGCUCUGUAAAGAAACUCAGAGGUAAAACUCAGCUGCUAAUAAGUAAUUGAAGAUUUCAAAGGUCACAGCUCUGGCAACAAUUUAGUCUACAAGAAUCUGCAUCUAUGAGCCCAGCCCCUGGCCCUGACCGUGAUGAGGAUGCUCUCGGGAAUGACCGGGGAAUCUGUAAAGUACUCGUGUUCCUAAAAGGACCCACGAAACGGCAGUCUACCUGCUUAAAAUUCUCUGAGAUUAUCUUGGCGCUUCUGACUUUUUAGCGCACUCAAGGGCAAGGUUAAGAGGCGGAGUAACUGAGGGCGGAGAUCGGGGGAGACACGUCAUCACGUCAGCUAGAGCGCAGCUCACUUGGACUUCACAGCCGGGUGGCUCUAGAUGGUUUCUCCGCGAUCUGAAGCCAUAUUUGGAGUGAAGUUAGUCUGGUGGCUCAUACUUUUAGGAAAUACAUGUGAACAAGAACUCAUUACUGAACCUGUGGCAGAGAAGAGGACAUGGAAGUAGGACUAUAAAGUAGGAUCGCAGUCUCUUUCCCGAUCAGAAGGGGAAAAAAAUGAAAGACUUCUUUUCUGAUAAAUACAAUUGUAAGAAAUGUAUAUUUUUUUCUCAUAAAUCUCUCUCAUGAUUUACAUAUGGUAUCUUUAUAGCAUUACUUAGAAUAUACACAUGGCCAUACUCCAAAUUAAGUAACUGUUUAUGGGAAUAAAAUUGAAAAUCAUAGGCUAAACAAGACUUCUAAUACAUUGAAAAUAAUAAAUAUGAUUUCAACUGCUAGUGUCACAAAAUUGUUAUUGCCUCUUUUCCAUAAGAAAUAAAGAUGUGUGAUUUGUUAUAUGGAAUGAGCUACA